rnacentral:rRNA from 1 species
ACUCAAAGGAAUUGACGGGGGCCCGCACAAGCAGCGGAGCGUGUGGUUUAAUUCGACGCAACGCGCAGAACCUUACCAGGGCUUGAAACGCCGCUUACAAUCGGGGAAACCCGGUGGCCGCAAGGCGUGCGGUACAGAUGCUGCAUGGCUGUCGUCAGCUCGUGCCGUGAGGUGUCGGGUUAAGUCCCGCAACGAGCGCAACCCCUGGGCCUAGUUGGGUGUCUAGGCUGACUGCCCCCGCAAGGGGGAGGAAGGCGGGGAUGACGUCAAGUCAGCACGGCUCUUACGUCCUGGGCUACACACACGCUACAAUGGGCGCGACAAAGGGAUGCGAAGCCGCGAGGCGGAGCCAAUCCCAGAAAGGCGCCCUCAGUUGGGAUUGCAGGCUGCAACUCGCCUGCAUGAACGUGGAGUUGCUAGUAACCGCCGGUCAGCACUACGGCGGUGAAUACGUUCCCGGGCCUUGUACACACCGCCCGU